UAGACGGCGACAAAUGCGCCACAGAUCUUCAAGCCAUGGAUACAUAUCAAGUGUUUGGCAAGUUCAGACGGCCACCAUCAUCAUAUUUUUACUUUUGGGGGCAAACUGGUCCCUACCACCCUAGCCGGUAGGCAGUAGUAGCCACCAAAAUUGACAGAAAAACUACAUGGCCUUUGUAAAUGCUGAUGUUUAUGGAGAGCCUACCCAAAGAAAGCUGAAAUGCUACCAACUAAAGAGGCUCCUUACUUAAAUUAGAUCAAAAAUCACAUUUUUUCACAAUAUUAGUGGCACCAAUAGGAGUAGAAGGAGGAGGA
rnacentral:misc_RNA from 1 species